UAGUUUCCGACAGAAUAUUAUGCUAAAAUUAGUAUGAUACAGAAAAGAUAAGCAUGAUCCUGCGCAAGGAUGACAUGCAAGAUCGUAAAGCGCUUUAUAUUUGU
rfam:Phlebotomus papatasi Contig336.14, whole genome shotgun sequence.